rnacentral:rRNA from 1 species
GACGAACGCUGGCGGCGUGCUUAACACAUGCAAGUCGAACGGAAAGGCCCUGCUUUUGUGGGGUGCUCGAGUGGCGAACGGGUGAGUAACACGUGAGUAACCUGCCCUUGACUUUGGGAUAACUUCAGGAAACUGGGGCUAAUACCGGAUAGGAGCUCCUGCUGCAUGGUGGGGGUUGGAAAGUUUCGGCGGUUGGGGAUGGACUCGCGGCUUAUCAGCUUGUUGGUGGGGUAGUGGCUUACCAAGGCUUUGGCGGGUAGCCGGCCUGAGAGGGUGACCGGCCACAUUGGGACUGAGAGACGGCCCAGACUCCUACGGGAGGCAGCAGUGGGGAAUAUUGCACAAUGGGCGGAAGCCUGAUGCAGCAACGCCGCGUGCGGGAUGACGGCCUUCGGGUUGUAAACCGCUUUCGCCUGUGACGAAGCGUGAGUGACGGUAAUGGGUAAAGAAGCACCGGCUAACUACGUG